CCGGUAGAAACGCGAACUAUCCUGGUUAUAAAACGCAGGACUGGUGAACUGUACAGAUAUUUUUAGAAAAAAGUUACCUAGGUAAGUGGAUGACACCCCAUGUAGUGUAUCUUAUGUGACACGAAUGAAACCAUCUUUUAAUGGUGUCGCCAGCCCCGCCCCCAUACGCGUCGACCACGUGUAGGUCUGCAGCUGACUUGGAGCUGGAGGCCCCCACGCUUAGUUCAGUCUCGGAUAAAACAAGUGAAUGUAGGAGGAAGUGAGAGACUCGCAGCGUUCACGACAGCAGCAGCAUUUGACGCUUACGCGUCCCAGGCACUGAGACACUCUACAGGGAUUCAUUUAAUCCUCACAGCGUAUGAGCCGACUCCGCGCUGCCCAGACGCGCGCGCGGGACGCUGGGCUCCACUGGGAGGCCUGACCCGGACCGUGGGCCGCAGGGACCGACCGCGGGAACCGAGACUCGCAGGCUCAAGCGCGGAGCUCGCUAAAGCCGGGAGAUGCGGCAGUGAACCCAGGCGACCGACGCGGAAAGCGUGGGGAGUCUGGGCAUCAGGAUUGCCGGGCUGAAGGAGAGACCAGAUACGAGAUCCAACCCCUCCGUUUUCCGGUGAGGAAACGGAGACUUCAUUGCCCUAUAGCACAUAAGAAGUCCAAUGGAAGGGCAAGUCCAGAGUGGAUUUGAGGCUCAGGAAUCCGAUACAGAGAAGCUGAGAAAUAAAUUAUGUUGCUGAGGCUGAAGAUAAGGCACAGAAGUGUGGCUCCUGCUAUCUGAGGGAAAGACAGGACCCUGGAGUUGGCC